CUGUUAUUAACGUAUAUGUAUACUGAUUUAUAUGCUACACACAAACUCACACUCACACUCUCCCUUACACUUACACUCACACACUCACUCACAUACACACGCACACACACUCACACACACUCACUCACAUACACACACACACAUACACACUCACACUCACACUGACACUUACACUCACACUCACACUCACUCGCACUCACACUCACACUCACACUCACACUUACACUCAUACUCACACUCACACUCACACUCACACUCACACUCACACUCACACUCACACUCACACUCACACUCACACUCACUCACACACACUCACACUC
rnacentral:lncRNA from 1 species